rnacentral:rRNA from 1 species
UACAGAGGGGGCAAGCGUUGUUCGGAAUUACUGGGCGUAAAGGGUCUGUAGGUGGCUUGCUAAGUCAGACGUGAAAUCCCCUCGGCUUAACCGGGGAACUGCGUCUGAUACUGGCGAGCUUGAGUGCAGGAGAGGAACGCGGAAUUCCAGGUGUAGCGGUGAAAUGCGUAGAUAUCUGGAGGAACACCGGUGGCGAAGGCGGCGUUCUGGACUGCAACUGACACUGAGAGACGAAAGCCAGGGGAGCAAAGCAGG